GACGAAGGGGGCUAGCGUUGUUCGGAAAUACUGGGCGUAAAGCGCACGUAGGCGGCGCAGCAAGUCAGGGGUGAAAUCCCGGGGCUCAACCCCGGAACUGCCCUUGAAACUGCAGUGCUAGAAUCUUGGAGAGGCGAGUGGAAUUCCGAGUGUAGAGGUGAAAUUCGUAGAUAUUCGGAAGAACACCAGUGGCGAAGGCGACUCGCUGGACAAGUAUUGACGCUGAGGUGCGAAAGCGUGGGGAGCAAACAGG
rnacentral:rRNA from 1 species